rnacentral:rRNA from 1 species
UGGGGAAUCUUGGACAAUGGGCGCAAGCCUGAUCCAGCCAUGCCGCGUGCGGGAAGAAGGCCUUCGGGUUGUAAACCGCUUUUGUCAGGGAAGAAACGCUCUGGGCUAAUACCCUGGGGUAAUGACGGUACCUGAAGAAUAAGCACCGGCUAACUACGUGCCAGCAGCCGCGGUAAUACGUAGGGUGCAAGCGUUAAUCGGAAUUACUGGGCGUAAAGCGUGCGCAGGCGGUUAUGCAAGACAGAUGUGAAAUCCCCGGGCUCAACCUGGGAACUGCAUUUGUGACUGUAUAGCUAGAGUACGGUAGAGGGGGAUGGAAUUCCGCGUGUAGCAGUGAAAUGCGUAGAUAUGCGGAGGAACACCGAUGGCGAAGGCAAUCCCCUGGACCUGUACUGACGCUCAUGCACGAAAGCGUGGGGAGCAAACAGGAUUAGAUACCCUGGUAGUCCCUGAGCGGGCUGGCAAGGCGCAU